rnacentral:rRNA from 1 species
AACGAACGCUGGCGGCAUGCCUAACACAUGCAAGUCGAACGAGAUCUUCGGGUCUAGUGGCGCACGGGUGCGUAACGCGUGGGAAUCUGCCCUUUGGUUCGGAAUAACAGUUGGAAACGACUGCUAAUACCGGAUGAUGACGAAAGUCCAAAGAUUUAUCGCCAGAGGAUGAGCCCGCGUAGGAUUAGCUAGUUGGUGUGGUAAAGGCGCACCAAGGCGACGAUCCUUAGCUGGUCUGAGAGGAUGAUCAGCCACACUGGGACUGAGACACGGCCCAGACUCCUACGGGAGGCAGCAGUGGGGAAUAUUGGACAAUGGGCGAAAGCCUGAUCCAGCAAUGCCGCGUGAGUGAUGAAGGCCUUAGGGUUGUAAAGCUCUUUCACCGGGGAAGAUAAUGACGGUACCCGGAGAAGAAGCUCCGGCUAACUUCGUGCCAGCCGCCGCGGUAA